GACGAACGCUGGCGGCGUGCUUAACACAUGCAAGUCGAGCGAUGAAGCUCCUUCGGGAGUGGAUUAGCGGCGGACGGGUGAGUAACACGUGGGUAACCUGCCUCAUAGAGGGGAAUAGCCUUCCGAAAGGAAGAUUAAUACCGCAUAAGGUUGUAGUGCUGCAUGGUAUAGCAAUUAAAGGAGCAAUCCGCUAUGAGAUGGACCCGCGUCGCAUUAGCUAGUUGGUGAGGUAACGGCUCACCAAGGCGACGAUGCGUAGCCGACCUGAGAGGGUGAUCGGCAACAUUGGGACUGAGACACGGCCCAGACUCCUACGGGAGGCAGCAGUGGGGAAUAUUGCACAAUGGGGGAAACCCUGAUGCAGCAACGCCGCGUGAGUGAUGACGGUCUUCGGAUUGUAAAGCUCUGUCUUCAGGGACGAUAAUGACGGUACCUGAGGAGGAAGCCACGGCUAACUACGUGCCAGCCGCCGCGGUAA
rnacentral:rRNA from 1 species